CUAUUUUUCCCUCCGUCCCAAAAUUCUUGUUUUAGAUUCGUCUAGAUACGGAUGUAUCUAAUACUAAAACGUGACUUGAUACAUUCGUAUUUAGACAAAUUUAAGACAAAAAUUUUAGGACGGAGGGAGUAUUUG
rfam:Triticum aestivum genome assembly, contig: Triticum_aestivum_CS42_TGACv1_scaffold_516170_6BS